rnacentral:lncRNA from 1 species
GGGAGCUUGAGCUGAGAUGGACUGGUCUUCAUGGGCGCCCAAGGCGCUGGGUGCAGCUUUCCCCGAGACCCCCAGAUGGAAAGGAGGGAAGGAGGAACCCCACACACUCGCCUUUUGGGAGAAGAUCGGCGCGCACCCCAGAGUGCCCCAAGCCUUUGGAAUCUGCCUGCUGAGCGGAGCGCGCGAGCGUGGUGGACAGGUCCCGAACUUGGCCAGCGGGCUUUCUUGGCAACUUGCUUUGCGCAGUUCUCCAUGGAACCCUGGACCCACUGUGCUCCCGGCGCCUUGCCUUUUUUUUCCUUUUUCUUUCUCUCACUCUCUCUUUUUAAAUUUAUGAACUCGAAAUGAAGCGGAAAGCAGAUAUGCGCGUCAGCAUACUUUGGCGGUUCUUCAUGUGGGGGAUUGUCAGUGGGAGAUGGCACUUCAUAAGGUCUGCGGUGGUCACCCCAGUCAUCAUCCGAGGUGUUGCACCAGUUUGUGUUGCAGUUUGAGCCAUGCUGCCGACCCCUUCCAGGGCAUCUGCCACGGGCACCUCCUCCAGUCCGUGCACUAAGAUUCAAGAGAGUUGAAGAACCAGGGAAUCGUUGUAAUAACAAGCAUUCUGAAUUGCAUCAUACUGUGUACUAGACCUUUUAAAAAUGGAACUGUCGGCUGCGGUUGGAAGGUGCAUGCAGGCGCCCUGGAGAGAAUUCACACGGAGGCACAGGACAGACGCUCCCAGGAACGAGGAAGCACCUCCAGAAAGGAGCGCUCUAUGGGCUCCAGGCAGCCGAGGAAACGCGAACGUGAGCCCCGUGACUGCAC